GUGCUCUGUACAGGUGACCUCUACCUGUGCACAUGCCUGGUUCUGCUGUUGUGUGCUGAAUCACAUUUAUCUCGUUGUGUUUAACAGGUACACUUGCUGAAUGUCCUCUUCAGAUCAGCCCAUGGAGUGUUGUUGUGAAGUACGGCAAUUCUGUUUCAGUAAACUGCAGCACUUCUGUCACACAUCAUGGGAUGGGAUGGGAAUCCACUGUGGGAGGAGUACCCCUGUCCACAGCCAGUCUGAUCACAUGGAGAGUGUCACAGCUGACAGACUGGGAGAUACAGUCACCAUUCUGCUACUUGAAUUAUGACAAUCAACAGUGUGAAGUAGAUCUGCCAGUUACUGUUUACAAGACUUCAGACAGUGUUUCCAUCAGGACUGUGAAUCAAACAAUGAUAGAGGGAAACCAGUAUAAGCUCCAGUGUGACGUUUACAAUGUGGCUCCUGUAGAUCAUUGUGACAGAUGAUCUGUCUUAUAAAUAUAAGUGAUUUGUGUGUUUAUAAAGUGUUACACUUUAAUGUGUCGGCUCCUUUAAGAAUGCACUCCUCAUUAGUUAUGCAUGAGGAACAUACCACGAGGUUGUAUGUUAUAGCAUGUUCCGGUUAACAAGUGCGCUUAUAAUAAAGUACAAUCUUUACAUGAA